rnacentral:rRNA from 1 species
GACGAACGCUGGCGGCGUGCUUAACACAUGCAAGUCGAACGAAGUGGCGAACGGGUGAGUAAUACGUGGGUAACCUGCCCUCCUUUUUGGGAUAAGCCUUGGAAACGGGGUCUAAUACCGAUUAUAGGUGGAUGGGCUCGCGGCCUAUCAGCUUGUUGGUGGGGUGAUGGCCUACCAAGGCGGUGACGGGUAGCCGGCCUGAGAGGGUGAUCGGCAACAUUGGGACUGAGGUACGGCCCAGACGCCUACGGGAUGAAGCAGUGGGGGAGAUUGCACAAUGGGGGAAAGCCUGAUGCAGCUUGGCCGCGGGGGGGAGGAAGUCUUUCGGGUUGUAAACUUCGUUCGCUAUGGAACGGGGAGGUGGAGAAGAAGCGCCGGCUAACUACGUGCCAGCAGCCGCGGUAAUAC